AAACAUUGUUUAUAAAAAUUCUUAUAAAUACAACCUGCUCAAUGAAAACCUUUAAAUAGCUGCAAUUUAUGUACUAAGGUAGCAUAAUCAUUUGUUUUUUAAUUUUAAACUAGAAUGAAAGGUCAAACAAAUCAUUUCUUUAUUUUUCUAUUUUAUUUCAACUUAUAUUAAAUAUAAAAAUAUAUUUUUUCAAAAAAAAGACGACAAGACCCUAUUGAACUUUACUACAGUUUAGCUGGGGAAGCUAAAUAACAAAUAUUUUAUUAUUAAUUAUAUAAAUGACCCAAAAUAUUUGAUUAAAUAAUCAAGUUACCAUAGGGAUAACAGCGCAAUAAAUUUUUAAAGUUCUUAUCUAAAAAUUUGCUUACGACCUCGAUGUUGAAUUAGAAAUCUCUAUUAAGUAAAAAUAAUAAAAGUAGGUCUGUUCGACCUUUAAAAUUCUACAUGAUCUGA
rnacentral:rRNA from 7 species